CGCAGGUCUCCAUCCUGAAAACAAAAUAUGCAGAAGGAAAACUUCCACUCUACUAUGAUCAUGGCACUGAAUAUUAGAAGAAUGCAGAAACCAACUGUAGGUACAUGUACCUUCUCAAUUUCUCUUAUAAGCAGAAGAGGACUGGGAUGUACCCUUUGGCUUCCAUGGUGGUCCAGCCUGGAGCUGUUUUCCCUGUUGUACAUAGAAGAUGGUUUUCUUCUCUAAAUGUUGGGAAACCUCUUCCUUUCCUACUAUGGAAAAAGUAUGAGGCAACCCCCAACCAGGAGGAGGUGUGGCUGCAGGCAGCAGGUAGAACCAAAGUCAGUCUCAGGAACAGCAGGACAGGGCCUGGCAUAGAGGAGUCAAUAAAUAUUGAAUUGAAGAAGGUACAAUCUCAGCAGGUAUGAGUCCCCCCACCAGAGCACAUUAGACUCAUCAAUACAAAUAAGCAAUCACUGCAGUCAAACAAAGUUUGUGCUUUAAAAAGAAAACAUAAAUAUGCUGAAAAAGUCCAUCAAAAAGGUCAUGCAUAGUGAAAAUGUAGACUCAACUUGAUGACUGGAAGUCACAACUGAAUCAAGCAAACCUGCCCCACAUGGCAGUAAGCCAGCCCUAUGGGACCACUCUGUGAUCAUUAAUUUCUCCCCACUCUUCUAGGAGUAUCUGUACACAGGGUUUGUUCUGACAUGUACAUACUGAGUCUCUUCCUUCCAAACUAUUGUCGUCGUCAGUGUGGCAGGUGUAUGCAAUGGGGCAGCACACAGAAGGAAAAAGAAGGCAGUCAUGACUGUGAUGGGGCCUACUGAAUCCCCUAAUUCAUGUUAUGUUCCAAAAUUUAUUUGAUUGAUGAAGAAUUUCUUGAGAUCUGAGUAAAAUGUAAAGAACUGACAGUGGGAAGAACAGAAAUAUAUAUGUAUAUA
rnacentral:lncRNA from 1 species